GAGACCAAUGACAAAGGAUAUACAGUUGAAUGCUAAGGAAGCUCGAGGCAUUCACGGCAAAAGUCACUCACGCAAAUCAAAUUAAUAUGUCGGGUUUCUUCUGGAAUAUGAGGGGAUUCAAUAAAAGGAGUAAGCAUACAGUUGUGAAGGAUUGGAUAAAGCAGAGAGGAUUUGAUUUUGGGUGUCUUAUAGAAACAAAGGUUAAGGAAACAAAGGCAAAGAAGGUGGUUGAUGAAGUGUUUAGAGAUUGGUCCUGCAUUACUAACUAUGAGCACCAUAGGCUUGGCCGGCUAUGGGUCGUCUGGAACCAAAAUGUCUGUGUGACACCUCUGUUUAAAACAUCACAAAUGAUCUCAUGUUCGAUUCAGAUACAGGGUAUGGAGGAGCCAGUGCUGAUUUCUUUUAUCUAUGCUUCCAAUUCAGUGGAAGAGAGGAAAAAGUUAUGGGAUGAUUUAAAACUUCAUCAUGAUUCUCCUAUGUUCCAAGGCAAAGGUUGGCUGAUUUGUGGAGAUUUUAAUGAGAUUCUUGAGGGGGAUGAGCACUCCUUAUUUGAUACCUCUCCAACAAUUCCUGCUGGUAUGAGGGAUUUUCAAGAUCUAGUAAGCUACUGUGAACUUAUAGAUUUGAGCUACCAUGGUCCCAAGUUUACUUGGUGUAAUAAGCGAGUGGAAGGAAUGAUAAGCAAGAAGCUUGACAGAGUAUUAGUAAACCAAGCAUGGAUAUCACGAUUUAUACAAUCUUAUUGUGUUUUUGAAUCGGGUGGAUGCUCUGAUCACGCUAGAUGUAGACUCUAUAUAAAGGAGGCAGAGGCAAAGGGUAGAAGGCCUUUCAAGUUUACAAACGCCAUCAGUUCUUUCCCAGGGUUUAGGGACCAGAUUCAGGAGGAGUGGAGCUCGUCGCCUCCUCUUUACCACUCCACAUCGGCGCUUCAUCGAUUCACUAAAAAGCUGAAGGAUCUCAAACCAAAAAUCAGGAGUAUGGGAAAACAAAUGCUUAGUGAUAUUACUAAAAGAAGUAAAGAAGCUUACAAAAUCCUUUGUGAAUACCAGCAAGAAACGAUGCUUCAUCCCACUACAGGAGCUAUGGAAGCUGAACGCCGAGCCUAUGAAAAGUGGAGUAGAUUGGCAGAGAUUGAGGAAAAGUAUUUGCGACAGAAGGCAAAGCUGUUCUGGUUGAAAGUGGGGGAUCAAAACAAUAAGGUUUUUCACUUGGCAGCAAAGAUAAGAGAAACAAGGAACAAUAUCAGAGAAAUUAUUUGCCCGGAUGGAUCUAUAGUCUCUGAUGCUGAGGGUAUUAAGAGUGAAGCAGAGCGCCACUUCUCUGAAUUUAUGAGUCAGACGCUAAAUGAUUUUCAACCGUGGCAAGUAGAGGAGCUGCGAGAGCUGCUUGAGUUUCAAUGUAGCGAUGAGGAUCACCAAUUACUUCUCCAGGAAGUGUCUGAUGAAGAGGUUAAAACUGUCUUGUUCAAAAUGCCAAAGGAAAAAUCCCCAGGCCCUGAUGGUUAUACCCAAGAAUUUUUUAAAGAAACUUGGCCUAUAGUGGGAAAGGAUUUGGUGGUAGCGGUUCAAUCUUUUUUUAAGCUUGGUUUUCUUCCCAAAGGUGCAAAUUCGACGAUCUUAGCAUUGAUUCCAAAGAAGAAGGAGGCUAAGACGAUGAAAGAUUACAAACCAAUCUCAUGUUGUAAUGUAAUCUACAAAAUCAUAUCAAAGAUUCUUGCAAACAGGCUUAAAGUUGUGCUUCCGAAGUUCAUCGCCCCUAAUCAAUCAGCAUUUGUGAAAGAUCGUCUGUUAAUGGAAAAUCUACUCCUUGCUACGGAGCUGGUCAAGGACUAUCAUAAAGAAACCAUUACUCCAAGAUGUGCUAUGAAAAUAGACAUAUCCAAAGCAUUUGAUUCAGUUCAAUGGAGGUUUCUGCUGAAUACUCUCAAGGCUUUGAACAUCCCAGAAAAAUAUGUUCAUUGGAUCGAUUUAUGUAUCUCCACUGCAUCCUUUUCAGUGCAAGUAAAUGGUGAGCUUGCUGGGUAUUUUGGAAGCAAGAGAGGACUUAGGCAAGGAUGCUCUCUCUCUCCAUACCUCUUUGUUAUAUGUAUGAAUGUUCUGUCAAAAAAACUGGAUAAAGCAGCUUUGGAAGGAAAGUUUGGUUAUCAUCCUACUUGUCAAGAGCUACAGCUUACCCACUUAUGUUUUGCUGAUGAUCUAAUGGUAUUUGUGGAUGGGAAUAAGAGAUCGGUGGAAGGUGUUUUGGAGGUUUUUGAUGAUUUUGCUAUCCACUCUGGUUUGCAUAUAAGCUUGGAGAAAUCAACCAUCUACAUGGCUGGUAUUGAGAAUGUAGAAAAGGAAGCUAUUCUUGAACAGUUUCCGUUUGAGUCAGGAAAUCUCCCAGUGCGAUACCUUGGGCUCCCACUUCUAACAAGGAGAAUGACAUCAGCUGACUACUUACCGCUUAUUGAAAAGAUCAGGUCUCAGAUUACUUCUUGGUCUGCGAGACCUUUAUCAUUUGGUGGCAGGCUUCAGCUUCUGAACUCAGUCGUUUUCAGCCUCACAAACUUCUGGAUAUCAGCAUUUAGGCUUCCAAAAUCGUGUAUACAGGAGAUAGACAAGCUGUGUUCAGCUUUCUUAUGGUCAGGGCCAGCUUUAAACUCGAGAAAAACAAAAGUUGCUUGGUCGGUGGUUACCACUCCAAAGAGAGAAGGAGGUCUCGGACUGAAAUCUUUGGAGGUGGCUAAUAAGGUCAGUGUGCUCAAAAUUAUUUGGAGGCUUUUGUCUAAGAAAUCCUUAUGGGUAGAUUGGGUGAAGCAACAUUUAAUAAGAGGGGGUUCUUUCUGGUCAGUAACGGAGAACUCGGUGAGGGGAUCGUGGAUAUGGAAGAAACUAUUGAAAUACAGAGCUGUGGCAAAAACUCUUUAUAAAUGGGAUUUGAAAAAUGGAUACUCUAUUUCAUUCUGGUUUGACGAGUGGAGCUCAAUGGGUUGUCUUUUUGAUAUAUUUGGUUCGCGAGGAUGCAUAGACCUGGGCGUAUCUCUGAACGCCACGUUGGGCAGUAUAUUAGACAGAACUAGAAUCAGAAGACACCGAUACCCACUUCUGAGACAGGUUGAAGAUGAGCUUGUUGAAGCUAAGAGAAAUAGAAUGGUGGAUGAAGAGGAUGUUGCACUCUGGAAGAACAAAACCGGUCUUUACACUAGUCGAUUCCUUACCAAAGACACUCUGGGGAACUUGAGGUCUCCAAAUCCUGAUUGGGAAGCUCACAAAGCUAUCUGGUUCCAGUUUGCCACGCCAAAGUAUGCUUUUGUGACUUGGCUUGCAGCUCGUAACAGACUAGAAACAGGGGAAAGAAUGGAGAGAUGGAACAUAAAUGUUAACCUGGGAUGCUCUUUCUGCACGGAACCACGAGAAACUCGUGAGCACCUAUUUUUUAGCUGCCCCUUUACAAGCCUGAUAUGGGAGAAGCUGGUAAAGGGAAUUCAAGGCACCAACUAUACGAGCAAUUGGCAGAGUAUUCUCGCCAUUCUGAUGACGAUGGGGACGAAGGAUUCACGAUCUUUCAUUGUGAAGUAUGCAUUUCAGAUGGCAAUACAUUCAAUUUAGAGGGAGAGAAAUCGGCGAAGACAUGGAGAGGACCACUGUACGAAUGAACAACUUCUGAAAACAAUGGAUGUCAUCAUGAGAAACAGGCUCAGCACAAUCAGAUUGCAAGGGAAACAUCAGUUUGAAGAUGGUGUAUGAGUGUGGUUUGCCACAAAAGCUUCUUAGAUAAAUCAGAAAUCUUAUGUUAUUGAAAAAGUAGAACUUUUAUCAUUAAAAGUCCAUAACGUACUUUUACUGCUCCGCGUAAGUGGAAGAGAGGCAAAGGACGAGUUACUAUUCAAUUUGGAUGCUGUUAUAACUAUGCAAUAGAAACCCACCAGGAAUCCUUCAACGCGUAG